rnacentral:pre_miRNA from 1 species
CAAGUACUUCCUCCGUUCAAAAAUUCUCGUCUUAGAUUUAUCUAGAUAUGAAUGUAUCUAGUCAUAUUUUAGUAUUUAGGUACAUUCAUUGAUAGACAAACCUAAGACAAGAGUGGGAGGGAGUAGUAU